rnacentral:misc_RNA from 1 species
GUUCAUAUCAGUCCCUGCCUAAUCGGAGGUCUGGGACGCUCCUUUAUUGACUUCGUCAUCGCCGGGUGCCGCGAUGCCGCCGGAAUCUCCGGCUUCAUCCUCGUCAGGGUCGCGGGUGGGAUCGGACCCGGUGAUGGCGGCGCGGACGCGGUCGAGGAAGGGCUUGAAGGCCGUCUCCAUCGUCACCCACGCGAGCCCGAGGCCCGCCAGCACCACCACCGCCGUCUUCAGAGUGCCGCCCUCUCGCUGUUUGCUGCCGCCAGCCAUCGUUCUUGCUCUCCCUCGCGGAUGGUGGCA